rnacentral:rRNA from 1 species
UUUCCGGUUGAUCCCGCCGGAGGCCAUUGCUAUCAGGGUUUGACUAAGCCAUGCGAGUCGAGAGGUGUAAGACCUCGGCAUACUGCUCAGUAACACAUGGAUAAUCUGCCCUUGGGUGGAGAAUACUCCCGGGAAACUGGGGUUAAUGCUCCAUAGUGGAUAUAUACUGGAAUGUUAUAUCCUCGAAAGAUCCGUCGCCCAAGGAUGAGUCUAUGUCCGAUUAGGUAGUUGGCGGGGUAACGGCCCACCAAGCCUUUGAUCGGUACGGGUUGUGGGAGCAAGAUCCCGGAGAUGGAUUCUGAGACAUGAAUCCAGGCCCUACGGGGCGCAGCAGGCGCGCAAACUUUACAAUGCGAGCAAUCGUGAUAAGGAAACCCUGAGUGCCUGUCGAUGCAGGCUGUUCAUAUAUCUAAAUCAUAUGUGAAGAAAGGGCAGGGCAAGACCGGUGCCAGCCGCCGCGGUAAUACCGGCUGCUCGAGUGAUGGCCACUAUUACUGGGUUUAAAGCGUCCGUAGCUUGAUUGUUAGGUCUCUUGGGAAAUCUUCACGCUCAACGUGAGGGCGUCCAAGAGAUACCGGCAAUCUUGGAACUGGGAGAGGUAAACCGUACUUCGGGGGUAGGAGUGAAAUCUUGUAAUCCUCGAGGGACGACCUAUGGCGAAGGCAGUUUACCAGAACAGCUUCGACAGUGAGGGACGAAAGCUGGGGGAGCA